UGAGCAAUCUGCCCUUCUCUUCGGAAUAAGCGUUGGAAACGACGUCUAAUGCCGAAUACGACCUCCUUUCGCAUGAUCGGAGGUGGAAAGCUCCGGCGGAGAAGGAUGAGCUCGCGGCCUAUCAGCUAGUUGGUGUGGGUAAUGGCCCACCAAGGCGACGACGGGUAGCCGGCCUGAGAGGGUGACCGGCCACACUGGGACUGAGACACGGCCCAGACCUCCGUACGGGAGGCAGGCG
rnacentral:rRNA from 1 species